CCACGCGGCUCUGAGCGGGACGGAGCUCAGGCCCCGCCGGAGACGCGCUCGGGAAAACACCCAAAGGACUCUACAAAUGUGAAGGAAACAUGGGACUAAAAUGUUGACAAGUCUGGGGAGUGGGCACACAAGUGUUUUCCAGACAAAGGUCAACACUUCCAUCCAGGUGCUAUCACAGACAAUUGGCAAUCACCGGCCAGAGCCAUUCAUUGGCAUAUCGGAGACUGAAGGGACAGAUCAAUUUGCAUUGCAGAAAGUACCAGCAGGGAAGAAACCAAAGUGGAACCUUCUCCAUCAGCCUCCGUGGCACUUUUCAUCCAAGCAGGGGCACUGGACUUUGAGACAGACACAUUUCAAAUGUUCGCUGGCCUAUAAAAGAGAGGGGCAAAGAAUCCUACUUUACCUUUCACCUAAGAAGACAAAGGAAGGAAGCACUUUGGACUUUGUGGGAGUGGUCAGCCAUGUUGCUGGAAGGAGGAAUGCAAGAAGCUUAAAGAAAACAACAACCCAUCAACCUUAGAACAGUGUACUCCAUACUUGUCCUCUCUGAGUUCCAAUUCAGAUGAUGAAGUUGCUGGAGUUGAUAAAAGAACAACAGAGACUCUUGCCAAAUUCAGCUGUCAGUUACACUUGUGUAAAUCUGGACUGGAAUUGCUGAUUUUUAGAACAGAGCAGAAUUUGGCCCUCUAUUUUGAGAUGGCUGGUCUCAAGCCGGAAUAAAGUUCUGUAGCAGAUUCCCUAGAUUGUGCAGCACUUUGGUUGACAGACUGGAAAAUCCUCAGCAGUCUAAUUGAAAUUAAAAAAUGAUGGGUCUGAAUAAGAUAUGAACAUGAAUAAU